rnacentral:snoRNA from 1 species
UUUGUGUGAUGAACUAAACUUACACCAUCUUUCGACUGAGCAUAAACGUUGAUGCUAUACAAGUUUUCACUGAUUCCAAUU